rnacentral:sRNA from 1 species
UCCAUGAUCCGCUACAUCCUUGUACCUCGCUUCCUCCUUGCAACCAGCCGCCCAGCAGGCGUAUCCACCACCCGUUUCAAGGAGCAAGUAGAUGUCUGAUCGUGAAACCGGAACCGUGAAAUGGUUCAACGAUGCCAAGGGCUUCGGCUUCAUCAGCCGCGAAAAUGGUGAAGACGUGUUCGUGCAUUUCCGUGCCAUCCAGACCCAGGGCUUCAAGAGCCUCAAGGAAGGCCAGAAGGUCACCUUCACCGUCGUGCAGGGCCAGAAGGGCCUGCAGGCCGAUGCGGUGCAGCCGGUCUGACCUGAUCCAUCGAACCGCGCUACCGCGCGCGCUCCACGAAAAAGCCCGGCAUGCGCCGGGCUUUUUCUU